AAAAAUGUAUAUUAAAAAUAUUUCAUUGUGUAUUAAAAAACCGAGACAAAUGAGUUAAAAUCAGUAAAUUAGUUCAUUAUAUGUAUAAAACCAGGAUGGUUGAAUUAAAAACAGUGAAAUUCAUAGUGGAAAAAUCAAUUCAUUAAAUAGAAUGUUUUGUUAAUAAUUAAAAUACCGAUGUUCACUUAAAAAGAAGAACAGAACCAUGAUAAAAAAAGUUAUGUGGAGUUUUAGUUGAAAGAGCUGAUCGGAAGACGGACUUCUCAUCCAAUCGGAGGAGAAGCUCCCACCCACUGACCCGAUCGGAGCAGGUUCACUUCCUCUUGAAGCUGCUAGAAGGAAGAGAGGAAGCCACAUUGAGCUCGAGUUGCAGGAAAAACACACUUUGGAUGAUAAAACACGGACAAAACACGGACAAAACACGGAGAAAACUGCUGGAGAAGAUCCCCCGGACGACAAGGACCUGCGUGAGUGCAGCUGGAGGAGCCGCUCGGGAGGAGAAAGCAUCGGUCAGGUUUUUUUUCGUUGGAUUCCAUUGAGAUACGGACCUGGAGGUUGGAGCCAGUUGAAGUUGAUGGCGAGCUAGACCCCGGUAGACGCUUAGAUACCGACGUCGUGGAACCUGGAUCCUUUUUUUGCACCAAUACACACACCACCCAUACCCCAGUGAGGUGGAACUGAUAUUUCACCUAUGCGGUGCUAACUGAACUGAACACUAGAAAUUAAAGCAGCUGCAGUAUUUUAUUUUAUUUUUUAUUUUUCAUGCUUACCCGGGUAGGAGUUGUUAUAAAUGUGUUAUUAAUGUGUUUCUUCCCAUCUGCAAUAAAAAGGGAAGCAUCUUUUGUUUCUUAAAGAGAA